AUGUUUUUGCCAAACGGAGCUAAGUUCUUCACAGUUGGCCUGGCUGCUGUGACCUGGGCCAUUUGGCUGGCUCGUAAUAGAGCUACCUUUGAGAAGAAGUUGAUUAAAUCUCCUUUUGAGAUUGUGUUUUCGGCUUGUUCCUUUCUUUUGUAUUGGGCAGGGCUUCAAAGCAAGGAAGAUGCGGAGGAACUGCGCCAAGGUGCAGAGAUGAUUCGCUCAAGUAUGACCAGGCUGAUGGCGAUGUGUGAGAAGGCCAGGCAUGCGAAAGAUGAUGAUGGAGAGGUGCUGACUUGGUGA
rnacentral:rRNA from 1 species